GACGAACGCUGGCGGCGUGCCUAAUACAUGCAAGUAGAACGCACAGUUUAUACCGUAGCUUGCUACACCAUAGACUGUGAGUUGCGAACGGGUGAGUAACGCGUAGGUAACCUGCCUGGUAGCGGGGGAUAACUAUUGGAAACGAUAGCUAAUACCGCAUAAUAUUGAUUAUUGCAUGAUAAUUAAUUGAAAGGUGCAAUUGCACCACUACCAGAUGGACCUGCGUUGUAUUAGCUAGUAGGUGAGGUAACGGCUCACCUAGGCGACGAUACAUAGCCGACCUGAGGAGGUGAUCGGCCACACUGGGACUGAGACACGGCCCAGACUUCUACGGGAGGCAGCAGUAGGGAAUCUUCGGCAAUGGACGAAAGUCUGACCGAGCAACGCCGCGUGAGGGAAGAAGGUUUUCGGAUCGUAAAGCUCUGUUGUAAGAGAAGAACGGGUGUGAGAGUGGAAAGUUCACACUGUGACGGUAUCUUACCAGAAAGGGACGGCUAACUACGUG
rnacentral:rRNA from 1 species